GAUGAACGCUGGCGGCGUGCCUAACACAUGCAAGUCGAGCGGCAGCGAGGGGUGCUUGCACCAUGUCGGCGAGCGGCGGACGGCUGAGUAACGCGUGGGAACGUGCCCCAAAGAGAGGAAUAACUGCCCGAAAGGGUAGCUAAUACCGCAUAUUAUCUUCGGAUCAAAGGAUUUAUCCGCUUUGGGAGCGGCUCGCGUCGGAUUAGGUAGUUGGUGAGGUAAUGGCUCACCAAGCCGACGAUCCGUAGCUGGUCUGAGAGGAUGACCAGCCAGACUGGAACUGAGACACGGUCCAGACUCCUACGGGAGGCAGCAGUGAGGAAUCUUCCACAAUGGGCGAAAGCCUGAUGGAGCAACGCCGCGUGCAGGACGAAGGCCUUCGGGUUGUAAACUGCUUUUAUAAGUGAGGAAUAUGACGGUAACUUAUGAAUAAGGAUCGGCUAACUACGUG
rnacentral:rRNA from 1 species